GACGAACGCUGGCGGCGUGCCUAAUACAUGCAAGUAGAACGCUGAAGGAGGAGCUUGCUCUUCUGGAUGAGUUGCGAACGGGUGAGUAACGCGUAGGUAACCUGCCUGGUAGCGGGGGAUAACUAUUGGAAACGAUAGCUAAUACCGCAUAACAGUAGAUGUUGCAUGACAUUUGCUUAAAAGGUGCAAUUGCACCACUACCAGAUGGACCUGCGUUGUAUUAGCUAGUUGGUGGGGUAACGGCUCACCAAGGCGACGAUACAUAGCCGACCUGAGAGGGGGAUCGGCCACACUGGGACGGAGACACGGCCCAGACUCCUACGGGAGGCAGCAGUAGGGAAUCUUCGGCAAUGGACGGAAGUCUGACCGAGCAACGCCGCGUGAGUGAAGAAGGUUUUCGGAUCGUAAAGCUCUGUUGUAAGAGAAGAACGAGUGUGAGAGUGGAAAGUUCACACUGUGACGGUAGCUUACCAGAAAGGGACGGCUAACUACGUG
rnacentral:rRNA from 1 species